AUCCCUAAUUCAUCAUCGUCAAUUGAAUUACAUCCAAUAUAUAUAUAUAUAGAAAGAGAUGACAACAGGAAAUAGAAAUAAAUUGAAAAAUGAUCAAGCCCGAUAAUAGAGGAUUUUUUUAUAUAAGAUCCAAUCAAGAGGAAAAGCAAUCAAAUUGAAAUGUUGAUAAUUUUAAACAUGUUAAUUGGAUCAGUUAAUCGUAUCAUCCGUAAAUUAACCAAUUGAUGCCAAAAUUUCAAAUACAAUCCAAAAAUAUCCAAAGUUGACAUUUAUAAAUAUCGUUUGGUGGAAAUACGUUGAUGGUGAUCAUUGGCAAUGACAUUUCCAUUGCAACAAAAAGCAGCAGAAAAACAGGAAACAGGAAAUCAAAACGAAAAUCAUUGGGUGGUAAACAUGGAGGAAGGAAGUUGGUUAAAAAAAGGCAGAAGAGGAGGAGAAGUUUCGAUUUGAUUGUUUGAAAAAAAAAGUUCGAAAAAAGAGAAGAACAAAAAAUUCAAUAGAAAAUAUAAGAAGGUAAGAAAAGGAAGAAAAAAACGAGAAAUCAAAUUGAAAUUAAUGGUUUGAUGUUUCAAGAAUUAGGAAUCAAAACUGAGACUGAAUCAAGAAUUGGAAUAUAAAUUUUACCGUUAAAAUUGUAAAAAUAUCAUUAACUCAACAUCAAGGAAACAAAAGAAAAAUGUUAGAAAACAAAUCACUGAAUCUAAAUUAUCAAAAAAAAAAUCACCUAACUAAUGAUUAAUUAUGUUACAUUAGAUACUGAUUUAUAUUGAAUUAGGGUGAAAAAAACUCCAAGGAAAAAUCAGUAAACUUGCCUGAUAUUUCAUGAGGAAAAUUAUAUUAUUAUGUCAGGGAAAAAACUUUUCCAACUUAAAUAUAAGAAAAAAAAUCUUAAUCAUCAUGUUGAUAAUAAUAAUCUUAAUCAUCUAA